GGCCUUGCUAGGAAAGCUGGCCCAUGAAAUCACUCGGGGAAAACUUGACACUACGGUGGGCCAGCGUGGUUUGUCUUCUAGUAACGAAAGCAGGAUGAGGAAGCAGCCUCUACAUGAACCCUAAUGGUCUCAGUGUGGGAGAUCAGAACACAAGGGCUGGCGGGAACAUGCAAUGCCUCUGAAAACCUCAGCUCAGAGGAGGCAAACACCUCAUCUAUUUAUGGUCCAUCUUGACAAGUCACAAGGUCUAUAUCCACAAUCAGUGGGGUGAGGAUGUCUACAGGGAACACUGGAAAAGAAGAAAAGGAAAUGGAUAAUUGUGAACAAAUGAUACAAUCUCCAUGCCUCAUGAGGCAGACACUGAUACAACUCUCUUGGUAGAGAAGGAACUUGAGGUACAGGGAGGAAACUGAGGCACAGAGAGGUUGAGAACCUUGGCCAAAGUCCUACAGCUUCUUAGUGAUAGAGCCAAGAUUUCAGCCUGGGGAGUCUGACUCCAUGGUGUCGCAUCGUUUUCUAGAUUCUUCUCCUGGGAACUCUCAUUUUUGUGGAAUGACCUAUAUCUUCUUGUCUAAGUUUUCAGCAGGCUUCAACAAAAACAAUUUUUAAAGAAGAGUCAAAAUGGCAAAAAAUAAAGUUUUGUAAAAUGCUGUUAUGGAUUUCUUCAAGGAAUAAGUCAUUAAAUUGCUGCCAGUUGUAACUUGUGAGAUCAUCAAGCUCAGUGCAGGAAUAUUGAAAGCACAGAGAAUGUGAAGAGGACUCCUGCAGACUAGGGCCCUGCCGGAUGAGAGGUCUCUAGCAGGUUCCAUCACUGCCUAUCAGGAUCAUUCUCAUCCUCCCAGGGAAGGGUGGAAAACGGAGGCUCAGCUAGAUGAAGCGACAUCCUAAAUUUGCCAUUAGCAGAGGUGAGAACUGAGUCAAGAGCAGAUCGCAGGUCCACCUGUUCCCUAAGGACCAUGAAAACAGGAAUGUGGGCACAACAGCAAGGAAGCCUUGAGAGACAAGCCGAGCCAAGCUGUUCUGUAAGGAGAGGUGUUCUGUUCUGUGUGCUGUUCUGUAAGGAAAGGGGAAGUCACUGGAAUUGCUUUCUUAAAGAAGUUUUUAUAAAGCAAGUUCUCUAAAAAACCUUGGAUGGCCUAACCUUGCUCUGCAAGAUCAAUGAAGAUGACAGAUUUAUUUCCUCCUUCACUUGAAAAAAAUAUAUACCGUUCUCACCUUUCUGAGAUAAUUUUGAAGUGGUUUUUGUGUAA